AGAGUUUGAUCCUGGCUCAGGACGAACGCUGGCGGCGUGCUUAACACAUGCAAGUCGAGCGGUAAGGCCUUUCGGGGUACACGAGCGGCGAACGGGUGAGUAACACGUGGGUGAUCUGCCCUGCACUUCGGGAUAAGCCUGGGAAACUGGGUCUAAUACCGGAUAUGACCUCCUAUCGCAUGGUGGGUGGUGGAAAGAUUUGUCGGUGCAGGAUGGGCCCGCGGCCUAUCAGCUUGUUGGUGGGGUAAUGGCCUACCAAGGCGACGACGGGUAGCCGACCUGAGAGGGUGACCGGCCACACUGGGACUGAGACACGGCCCAGACUCCUACGGGAGGCAGCAGUGGGGAAUAUUGCACAAUGGGCGAAAGCCUGAUGCAGCGACGCCGCGUGAGGGACGACGGCCUUCGGGUUGUAAACCUCUUUCAGCAGGGACGAAGCGCAANGUGACGGUACCUGCAGAAGAAGC
rnacentral:rRNA from 1 species